rnacentral:ncRNA from 1 species
CUACGGAUUUAAUUGGAUUGAGCCUUGGUAUGGAAACCUACUAAGUGAUAGCUUUCAAAUUCAGAGAAACCCUUGAAUGAAAAAUGGGCAAUCCUGAACCAAAUCAUAUAAUUUUAUUAUUUUAUGAAAAUAAACAUGAACAAAGCUUUAGCAAGCGAGAAUAAAAAAAAAAAAAGGAAAGGAUAGGUGUAGAGACUCAAUGGAAACUAUUCUAACAAAUGGGGUUGACUGUUGGUAAAGAAAUCAUCUUAGAAAAUGUCACAUUACAAUUCAGGCUCCCAGUUCAUGGUGG